rnacentral:rRNA from 2 species
UGGGGAAUCUUGCACAAUGGGCGAAAGCCUGAUGCAGCGACGCCGCGUGCGCGAUGAAGUCCUUCGGGAUGUAAAGCGCUUUCGACGGGAACGAUAAUGACGGUACCCGGAGAAGAAGCUGCGGCUAACUACGUGCCAGCAGCCGCGGUAAUACGUAGGCAGCAAACGUUGUUCGGAGUUACUGGGCGUAAAGAGUGCGUAGGCGGUUCGGUAAGUUUGGUGUGAAAUCUCCCGGCUCAACUGGGAGGGUGCGCCGAAAACUGCCGGGCUAGAGUGCCGGAGAGGAAAGCGGAAUUCCUGGUGUAGCGGUGAAAUGCGUAGAUAUCAGGAGGAACACCCGUGGUGUAGACGGCUUUCUGGACGGCCACUGACGCUGAGGCACGAAAGCGUGGGGAGCAAACAGG